rnacentral:rRNA from 1 species
CCUACGGGAGGCAGCAGUAAGGAAUAUUGGUCAAUGGAGGCAACUCUGAACCAGCCAUGCCGCGUGCAGGAAGACUGCCCUAUGGGUUGUAAACUGCUUUUAUCCGGGAAUAAACCUACUUACGUGUAAGUAGCUGAAUGUACCGGAAGAAUAAGGAUCGGCUAACUCCGUGCCAGCAGCCGCGGUAAUACGGAGGAUCCAAGCGUUAUCCGGAUUUAUUGGGUUUAAAGGGUGCGUAGGCGGCCUGUUAAGUCAGGGGUGAAAGACGGUAGCUCAACUAUCGCAGUGCCCUUGAUACUGAUGGGCUUGAAUGGACUAGAGGUAGGCGGAAUGAGACAAGUAGCGGUGAAAUGCAUAGAUAUGUCUCAGAACACCGAUUGCGAAGGCAGCUUACUAUGGUCUUAUUGACGCUGAGGCACGAAAGCGUGGGGAUCAAACAGGAUUAGAUACCCUGGUAGUCCACGCCCUAAACGAUGAACACUCGCUGUUGGCGAUACACAGUCAGCGGCUAAGCGAAAGCGUUAAGUGUUCCACCUGGGGAGUACGCCCGCAAGGGUGAACGUCAAGGAAUUGACGGCUGAGACGAGCGACGGACGACGACGAGGGAGGAGG